UUGCUGGGUUCAGCAAAUGGGUAAACUGGAGAACCACAGCACAUGGACUCAACACCCUGCUCCUAGUAAUAUGAAAUUCUUAAUGUUUGACAAGCAAUCACAUUUUUAUUCUAUACUACAUGGGUCCCACAGGUGCUGUAGCUGGUCCUGUUGGGUUUUGAAGAGAAAAUGGAUGCCCACGGUCUUCUCGGGAGACUUACUGGUAGCUGUGUCUUCCUACGGAUUCAGCCUGUGCGGAUUUCAGUUCCACACCGAGUCAGGCAUUCUGUGAAGAAGUUUUCACAGAGGAGUGCUGCCACGCUGCGGAAGAAGGAUGCCUGACUACUGUGCUAACAUCUGGAGUUUGACUACUAUCCUAAUGAACAUCUGGAGUUUCUCAAUACACUUGGAUGGAUGAUUUUUGGAGACGUCAAAAUAAAACUGUAUCAGCAUCAUUUUAGAAAUACCCAGUGUGUCUCAACACCCCACUGACAGCUAAAAGCAUCGUACAAAUACUCAUUAACAGAAAUUUAUAAUGCUCAGUGUUUCUUAUGAAAUAGUAUUUACAUAAUGUUCAUCUCAUAUGUACUCUACUGUUUGUGUGUGCAGCUGCAUAUGUGUGUAUGUGAAGGUUAUAGGUCAAACUCGUGUUGUUCCCCAUGUGCCAUGUACCUCACUCCUUGAAAAAAGGGUCUAGCAUUUGCCUGGAGUUCACCAAGUAGCCUUGACUGACUGGAGAGCCCUAGGGAUAGCUGGGAUGCUCUGGGGACCAGAGUAACCUAGUUUCAUUCUUGUUGUUGUGACAAAGUAUCUUGAAAAAAAUAACUUUAGGGGAAGGGCUUAUUAAGCUUACAAUUCCAGAUUAUGAUUCAUCACUACAGAGAAGUCACAGAAGCAGGACAACUGGUCACAUCACAUCUGCAGUCAAGAGUAAAGAGAAUGAACGCAUUUAUGUUUCCUGCUCCCUUUGAGCUUCUCCUUGUCUUAUACAGUUCACGAUUCUCUGUGUAGGGAAUGGUGUAGCCCACAGGGGGCUGAGUCUUCCCACAUCAAUUAAUAAUCAAGAUAACCUCCCUAGACAUGUAUACAAGAUAACAAGAUCUAGACAAUUCCUCAAAUAAAACCUGUAGAAUGAUGUCAUUAUGCAGGUGAAGGCAGGUACAAGAUAGAACGAGGCCUAUCAUUGGCUGAGAAGGAAGGAUGGGCAGAAGAAAAGUUUUAGAGAGGAGGAUGUUAUGUGCAAUCUAUGAGGAAUUUCUCUUUUGCAAUGGUCCAGUGUUAAGCACAUUAAAGUGUUUGCUUUGGUCCAGUUUCCAAGUACAUAAAAAUUUACACUAUCUCUCACAACAACCGCCCUCUAACUUAACAUCUUACCUCAAUGCCUGACGUUGUGUGGUAUUAGAGAGACAGUAUGUUUCUGUUUGAGUGUAUCACUGCUACAAACAUCACUUGAGUAGCCUAAAGUGCUAAGACACUACAAUAAAGGCAAAUAACAUUAGAUGAUCUUCUACAUAGGCAAAUUCUGCUGAAGUUACGUGGCUUCAGAAGGAAGUGCUCUGCCACUGUCGGCUGAUAAAAGGAACACUCUCCAUGGUGGCAUCAGGGUCUCUCCUUGAGCCCCAUGAGGGUAUGGCCAAGUUUUCUAUCAUCUGAUCCCAUCUUCUCAGUGACAUGGAAAGAGUCCUGGAUUCAAGGCAACCCAACUGAAAGCAUGUCUCUAUGACAAAGAACUCGGACUCUGAGCUCAGAAUAGUACAAAGAGAGACUCUCUGGAGAGCAGAAAAAAACACACUGAGAUGAAAAGUCAUGGGGGAAGAAAGAUGCAUCAAGAGAUGCUCAGGUGAAGAGAAACCUUGAAUUCAGAGGAAAACAAAUGUACUUUGUCACACAAAGAACUGUCAGAGAGAAAAAAAGCAGCGAGUUCAUCUCCUGACAGAACAGAAGCCGCCCCACUCCUUCCUGUGGUUUCUAGGGUUGAACGAAUGGAUCUGUGCAGACCAAGUCACUGGGAGCCCUCUCCUUCCUGUGGGUUCUAAGGUUAGUUCAUGCUCAUCAGAAACUCCCUCCCCCUCCAAGAGAGGGGACGCAUCCCAGCACUGCAGUGCUUCAAGCAUUGGCUCACGGGAGACCUCUCUUAGAUCUCCAGGCUCUUGCCCCCAGCAAACAAACAGAAGUCCUUCCUAGCACAUGUAACUGGCAAAAGCCACCUUGCUAUCUUCUAACUCCUUGUGAUUGUUAACCAGACUUCAUUUAUUUCGAAAGGAGAAUUCUUGGUUUCCAGUUCCCCCCUGGGAUGGUUCACACAUCUCUGCUCGAUGUUUUCCAAAUGUUCCAAUCUUGCUUGGGAUCAAGAUCCAAGAUCUUCCAGAUUUCCAUGGGUCCCACCAUGGGAAAUUUGUUUCUCUGCAGCAGGCUCUUGUGUUGAAACACACCCUGCUGUGUUCUCAUCACUGUGGGCAGGUGGCCAAGGUUUGGGACCAGAUAAACAAGAGACUGAAGCUUGGGCUUUUCUAUUCAUGAAAUUCUUACAGCAGUUCCUGUCUUUUCCUCCUCUGGUGCCACUAAAUCUGUGAGCUCUGUUAAACACCCAGGUUUUGUGCUUUCUGUGAAAAUUUUUUCUACUUACUCAAUGAGUGCAUGUUCUUUCAACACUACACGACUAUCAGAAUGUUCUUUCCCAUGAUAAAUCAUCCUGAUUGUAUAGACAACGAUCUUGUAAACUUUCUUUUUCCAAACUAGAAUUUUCUAUGCUUACGCCUUUAUCUUUAAAGGAGGUUUGAGAGGCACUGAAGAGGUGGCCCAGUGGUUAAGAGCACUGGAUGCUCUUCCAGAGGAUUGGAGACCAACUUUGAGAAGCCACAAGAUGACUCAUAACCAUCUGCAACUUUAGUACCAGGGGACCUGAUGUCUCCUCUGGCCACCGCAGACCCUGCAUGCAUUGUGCACAGACAUGCCUUCAAGCACUCAUAGACAUUUUUUUUUUAAUUUAGAAAAGGUUCUCAGAGAUUAGGAAACUGCUACCAGUUAUGUGUAGGGAAGCCUUAUUUACCCCAGUCCACUGGAGAACUUCCUUUAAGGACCUACACCUCCCCUGUUAAGUAUUAAGUGAAACAGGACUGGGGUCUAUGCAGUUCGCUUGCCAGAGUGCUUGCCUCACUUGCAUAAAGUUCUGAGUUCAAUCCCCAGCAUGGCAUAAGUGGGAUGUGAUGUGCAUUUCUGUAAUCCCAGAACUCUGUAUGUGGAGGCAGGGGGACCAAAAGGUCAAGGUCCAUUUUGAUGGCAUGGUGAUUUCAAAGCCAGUCUGGGGUACAUGAAACCUAUAUCAAGAUGUUAGAUAGAUAGAUAGAUAGAUAGAUAGAUAGAUAGAUAGAUAGAUAAGUAGAUAGAUGACAGACAGACAGAUAGUCAGGGAUGGAUGGCUUAAUGGGUAGAGUUUACUGUUCUCCAAUAUACAAGCUAAUUACUUGUUCCUGUUUUCAUUAAAAAAAAAAAACAACUUAGGCUGAUAAGAUGGUCCAGUGGCUAAUAGCAUUUACUGCCAAGCCUAAUGGCCUGGAUUCAAUUUGAGAAACAACAUGAUAGGAGAGAACUGAGUUCCCAAAACUGCUCUCUGCUCUCCAAAGACAUACAAAGGCACCCCUCUACACACACACACACACACACACACACACACACACACACACACACACACACACACUAAAUAAAUAAAUAAAUAAAUAAAUAAAUAAACAAAAUGUAAUACAAUUUUUAGAUUCCGAUUCACCUUCACCGAUAGAAUUGAAAACAUGAAAGUAGUGUAUGUCAAUGAGGAACUAUGUCACACACACACACACACACACACACACACACACACACACACACAGCGUGAUUUUAAAUUGGGGAAAUCUCAGUCUCCUCAAAUAUGUUCUCAUAUAUCAUUUCUUUAUGUUGAAGGUCUGCAAAAUGCAUUGUUGUGAUGUUUCUUUUUUUUCCUUUUAUUGGAUUUUUUAUUUACAUUUUAAAUGUUUAAAUGUUUCCUGCUUUCCCCUCCAGAAACCUGCUAUCCCAUUCCCCCUCUCCCCCUGCUUCUAGAAGGGUGCUCCCUCACUCACCAACCCACACCCUCCCACAUUCCCCUACACUGGGGCAUUGAGCCUUGGCAGGACCAAGGGCCUCUCCUCCCAUUGAUGCCCGACAAGGCCAUCCUCUGCUACAUAUGUGGAUGGAGCCAUAGGACCAUCCCUAUGUACUCUUGGGAUGGUGGUUUAGUCCUGGGGAGCUCUGUGGGGGUCUGAUUGGUUGAUAUUGUUGUUGUUGUUAUGGGGUCACAAACCCCUUCAGCUCCUUCAGUCCUUUCUCUAACUCCUCCACUGGCAACCCCAUUCUCAGUCCAGUGGUUGGCUGCGAGCAUCCACCUCUGUAUUUGUCAUAAUCUGGCAGAGCCUCUCAGGGACAACUAGAUCAGGCUCCUGUCAGCCUGCAUUGUCGUGUUUCUAAACAAACAGGGUAUGGCUCUCUCCUGUCACUCAGAACGUCUCACUCUUGUCACCUAGGACCUACCACCCACUGACCAGCCUCUUUCCAUCAUCUCAUUGUCUCUCGACUUUCCCGACCCCCACUUUCUGCCUCAAACAUCUGUGAAAUCCACUUCUUUCAGAUGCCGUACACGAGUGUGGUAGAGCAUGGCAUGAGUGUUCCUGUCUGGCUUAUUUUGCUUAGUAUAAUGAGCUCCAUCCAGUCCCAUUAAUCUCAUCUAUUUAAGCUGACUUUACUCCAAGAAAACACACACACACACACACACACACACACACACACACACACACACGAAAAGGUUUAUUUGAGUUCUUUAGCAAAAAAAAAAAAUCACAGUUGACCUCAUUGCACACAAGAUUUUUCAUGCGGGUCAUGAAUCUGUGUGGUCCAAAGACCCUCGGAAUGUGGCUGCAGCUUCUUGUUCUCUGAGAGGGGAAAACUUGACAAGUGCUCAAGUACAUUCUUGAGAGCUAUCUACAUUCCAGCUGGAACAGAAUGCCCCUGGCCUGGAGCCAGCCCACCCCACCUCUCCUACCCCAUAGACCUGGUUGGAGUGUAUAAAUGCUGCAGUCCUCAAAUGACACUGGAAGUUGGGUCUGGUAAGCCAGAGCCAAGGGCUCCCUAUCUCAGCUCACCCACUAGUUUGGCAACAUGGGUUUCUAUUAUCACUUCCUUUCUGAGGUCUCCUCCCAGUAUCAACAGAAAACUUGACAGUAACCACAAUAAUGUCACAUCUAAAAACAAUACGAUACGUGCUAUAAAAGUGCAGGGCUAGCCUUCAAAGUCACACUGGCUUCCUACCUCGAAGUUCAGGGUGGCAUCUUAGUUCCUAAUGCUCUCAGAUGUGUUGCUGAAAGUGCUACACUCCGGCUUUCCCUUGUCUAUUUC